AUUGAACGCUGGCGGCAGGCCUAACACAUGCAAGUCGAACGAGUGGCGGACGGGUGAGUAAUGUCUGGGACACUGCCCGAUGGAGGGGGAUAACUACUGGAAACGGUAGCUAAUACCGCAUACCAUCGGAUGUGCCCAGAUGGGAUUAGCUAGUAGGUGGGGUGACGGCUCACCUAGGCAACGAUCCCUAGCUGGUUUGAGAGGCUGAACAGCAACACUGGGACUGAGCCACGGUGCAGACUCCUACGGGAGGCAGCAGUGGGGAAUAGUGCACAAUGGGCGCAAGCCUGAUGCCGCCAUGCCGCGUGUAUGAAGAAGGCCUUCGGGUUGUAAAGUACUUUCAGCGAUGAGGCGUUACUCGCAGAAGAAGCACCGGCUAACUCCGUGCCAGCAGCCGCGGUAAUUC
rnacentral:rRNA from 1 species